GGCUUCAUAGCUCAGCUGGUAGAGCGCUUGCCGCGCUAAGGCAUGGUGCUUCUGUUGCUGGUUCGAAUCCAGCCGAAGCCC
rnacentral:tRNA from 1 species